GAUGAAGAACGUAGCGAAAUGCGAAAAGUAAUGUGAAUUGCAGAAUUCAGUGAAUCAUCGAAUCUUUGAACGCACAUUGCGCCCGCCAGUAUUCUGGCGGGCAUGCCUGUCUGAGCGUCAUUUCAACCCUCACGCCCCUAGGGCGUGGUGUUGGGGAUCGGCCAGCGCCCUCGCGGGCGAGGCCGUCCCCUAAAUCUAGUGGCGGACCCGUCGUGGCCUCCCCUGCGAAGUAGUGAUAUUCCGCAUAGGAGAGCGACGAGCCCCUGCCGUUAAACCCCCAACUUUCUCAGGUUGACCUCAGAUCAGGUAGGAAUACCCGCUGAACUUAAGCAUACAAUAAGCGGAGGA
rnacentral:misc_RNA from 1 species